rnacentral:tRNA from 1 species
AGUCUUAUAGUUAAUAUAAUAACAUUAAACUGCAAUUUUAAAAUAAAUAAAAAAUUUAAGGCUU